rnacentral:rRNA from 1 species
CCUACGGGGGGCUGCAGUGGGGAAUCUUGCGCAAUGGGCGAAAGCCUGACGCAGCGACGCCGCGUGGGUGAUGAAGUUUUUCGAAACGUAAAACCCUGUCGGGAGGGACGAAGCUCUGACGGUACCUCCAAAGGAAGCCCCGGCUAACUCCGUGCCAGCAGCCGCGGUAAUACGGGGGGGGCUAGCGUUGUUCGGAAUUACUGGGCGUAAAGGGCGCGUAGGCGGCUGAGCAGGUCCGGUGUGAAAUCCCUCGGCUUAACUGAGGAAUUGCGCUGGAAACCGCUCGGCUAGAGUACAGGAGAGGAGGGCGGAAUUCUCGGUGUAGCGGUGAAAUGCGUAGAUAUCGAGAAGAACACCGGUGGCGAAGGCGGCCCUCUGGACUGUCACUGACGCUGAGGCGCGAAAGCGUGGGGAGCGAACGGGCUUAGAUACCCCUGUAGUC